AGAGAUCCUAUUCCCUUUAAUCCUGUUUCACCCUUUUAUUUUAGUCAGAAGACUUAACAGAGGCCAAAAAAAAAUAAAAAAUGGAGCCUUUUGUUCUUGAUGGAAUCAUUAAUAGGUUGCUUGAAGUUGGGGGAAACCAGGUUCAGCUUUCCGAGGCUGAAAUUAGGCAACUUUGCAUCACUUCGAGGGAGAUUUUCUUGAAGCAGCCCAAUCUUCUAGAGCUUGAAGCUCCUAUCAAGAUUUGUGUCAAAGCAGAUCGUCAAUUCAAAGUGGAUUUGUUAUGUAUAUAUUGAUUGGAAUUUGAACUGGUAGUGAUCAAGGCUUAUGUGAAACUGCCUGAACUCUGUUCUUUAUGGGAAUGUGAUGACAUUUUUUGACAUUGGUGUUGAGAUGUGCUUUAUGGAUAAAAGUGAUUAUGAAAUAUGCAGGCAAGCGAUAUGAAAAAUAGCUAAGAUGACCAUGGAUGAGAAUCCACAAUGUUCUUUCCAAAUACUGAGACCCGCAGCGAAGAAGCCAAAAUUUGGUGUUGGGAGCACUGUUACAGCCAAGAGUGGCACCAUUCCACAUAAAAUCAAGGUAUAUGCAGUCCACCCUCCUCCUAGUAUACAUACCUGUUAUUUUAUUUACAAAUAAUAUUCCAAAAGGGUUUUAGGUGGUUGUUUUGGAGAACCAUGGUCAUUUGUUAGUGUAGGUCUUAGUGGAGGUUUCAUUGCCAGGGGAAUUCCUUCUCAUCGUUUAUCCUUUCCUUUUCCCUAGAAGUAAGAAAAAUCAGAUUAGAAGGUUUAUUGAUUCUUGAUAAUUAAGUUCACUGGCUUGGAGUCUUUCUAACAUUAAAGCCUUCAUCUUCAUCUACAGCACAGAAGGUCAAAAAGAUGCUGUGAAAAGAUUCCGAUAAUUGAUUUUUCGAUUAAUGCUUUCAUCAGCACUGUUGGACGUUCACGUAUGUGCUUUAUGUUGAGGUUUUAGUUAGUCUUGGUUGUGAGUGGCAGUAUCUAGAUAUAGCACCUAGGAAUCAUUAAAAGUUACCUGGUGUUUCCUCAACUCUGCCUUAUAAUGCCUUCUCCAAGUGAUAUAGUGCUUGAAAACUGGUCAAUUAGUUUUUCGAUAAGCAUCACAUACGAGUAUUCCAUGCACAUAAUGAUAUUUAAUAUUGAUUACACCCAAAAUAAACAUCUCCCAUUGAGCAGAUGUGAGUUGGUUGAUUCUUAUGAAAGAGAGUGAUCAAGAUAAGAAAGUUUCAGGGAGAAGCUGCGAAGCAUCGACCAGCACAUAUGGGAACUUCUAAUCUACUGAUUACGAGACUUGUUAAUGAAAUGGAACGUGCGAUGUGGCAGAAAAAAUUCAUGGAAGAUUCCUAAAGUAAUUUAGCGUUAUUAAAACAGAAGUUUAGGUCAUUAGUUUCAUAAAAUAGAGAGCUCCUCUCAUCUCAUUUUAAUUCUCCAGGCAGACCCCCAUACGCGGUUUUAAUUCAAUUCAUCUUAAAGCUUUUAUUUUCUUUCUUGACUACCUUUUGAGCUUAACAGCAAACCUUUCUAUCUUGAACACUGAAUAAGAGAUAACUUGCCCGGGUGAUGAACAAGCACUUCUGUUUUUGUUUUUUGACAACAUGGAUUAGAAGUUUGUUUUGUAAAACCUGCAGUGAUUAUGUAAUUAUUGACGAAUAUUGUAAUAGGAGAGAAAACUAGAAAAAACACAAGAUUUAAACCAUGAACUACAGACAUGACUCUAGUACGUCCCAAAGGCGGGUGUUGGUCUGUCAAGGAUGGAAAUAAAUGCCCCCAUCUAGACGAUAAAUAGAUAAAUAAAUGGGUUUCUUGCGGGCAUUUGCCAGCUUCAACAAGAGAUGCACCUGCCACGCAGGGGAAUAGAAGAAGGCUUAUCUCUUCUAUUACACGAAUAGUGGUAGCAUAUAUCUGCAAAGUUGACCGUUAUCCCAUUGCAUAAAUUAGAUUAGAAUGGCCCAUUGUACCUACCAAACAUUAACAAUGAUCUUAAAGAGUGGGUUCUCUUUCAAGUCUUAACCUUUUCAAUGGCGUGUUAUAGUGCGCAAGUGGAAAUCUAGUGUGAGAUUUUGACAUUGAUCUUUUGGACAGUUAAUUUAUUCUUCAUUAUCUUAGAUCGCUUGUGGGGCUAUGACAGUUCUAUUUGAAAUUAUUGUGGCCCAAAAUCCACUUUUGUUACUUCAAAUUUGGGAAUCCAUGAAUUACAUCAUGGGGGAUUGAAAUUCGAGGUCUCUUUGAGGCGAU